AUAUAUAAUAUUAUUAUAUAUAUUAUUAUAAUAUUAUUAUAAAUAAAUGGACAAUUUUUAUGAUGUAGGCCGAAAAUGAGUUUCCCCUCUUUGAAAGACCAGCAGCCGCCACUGAAAAAAUUGAAUAUACAUCCAC